rnacentral:rRNA from 1 species
GGGUGCGAUCAUACCAGCGUUAAUGCAUCGGAUCCCAUCAGAACUCCGCAGUUAAACGCGCUUGGGCUAGAGUAGUACUGGGAUGGGUGACCUCCCAGGAAGUCCUAGUGUUGCACCCU